rnacentral:rRNA from 1 species
CUGCGGAGGGAUCAUUACACAACAAAAUAUGAAGGCCUGGCUUUGCGGCCGGCUGAAAUAUUUUUUUCACCCAUGUCUUUUGCGCACUUGUUGUUUCCUGGGCGGGUUCGCCCGCCACCAGGACCAAACCAUAAACCUUUUUUUUAUGCAGUUGCAAUCAGCGUCAGUAUAAACAAUGUAAUUAUUACAACUUUCAACAACGGAUCUCUUGGUUCUGGCAUCGAUGAAGAACGCAGCGAAAUGCGAUACGUAGUGUGAAUUGCAGAAUUCAGUGAAUCAUCGAAUCUUUGAACGCACAUUGCGCCCUUUGGUAUUCCAAAGGGCAUGCCUGUUCGAGCGUCAUUUGUACCCUCAAGCUUUGCUUGGUGUUGGGCGUUUUUGUCUCCCUCUUUGCUGGGAGACUCGCCUUAAAACGAUUGGCAGCCGGCCUACUGGUUUCGGAGCGCAGCACAUAUUUUGCACUCUGUAUCAGGAGAAAAGGACGGUAAUCCAUCAAGACUCUUACGAUUUUUAACUUUUGACCUCGGAUCAGGUAGGGAUACCCGCUGAACUUAAGCAUAUCAAUAA